CGGGAAAAUUCCAUGGAAGUAGAAGCAUGGUGUGCUCCGUGAUAAAGGAGUAGUAAUAUUACGAUUCAUUAAGGUUAAUUUCUUAAAUACCAGUGAUGGUUUUAGCUCCUGGUUGAUGAGGAACGAGCUCUUACGGUGAGUUCACAAGGCAAGGUUAAAUAAAGGAUUGUGAACCAUCAGUCUGAGAGACCAUCAUUUCAACCGGGGACGCUACAGGAAUUAUGUCAACUGGAGACUUGGCUGCGUUUUUGAAGACGGAGAGGAAGCUAUGCACACUGGAGACCCAGAGGGAACCAGAGUCACCAGCAUCCAGCCCAGAGAAUUUUAGAGUUUAGAAUUUGGGGAUCAGUGGUCAUUGUGGAAGGGGCGGCAUGGUGGUGCAGUGGUUAGCACUGUCGCCUCACACCUCUGGGACCCGGGUUCGAGUCUCCGCCUGGGUCACAUGUGUGCGGAGUUUGCAUGUUCUCCCCGUGUCGUCGUGGGGUUUCCUCCGGGUACUCCGGUUUCCCCCCACAGUCCAAAAAAAAAAAAAAACAUGCUGAGGCUAAUUGGAGUUGCUGAAUUGCCCGUAGGUGUGCAUGUGUGGGUGAAUGGUGUGUGAGUGUGCCCUGCGAUGGGCUGGCCCCCCAUCCUGGGUUGUUCCCUGCCUCGUGCCCAUUGCUUCCGGGAUAGGCUCCGGACCCCCCGCGACCCAAUAGGAUAAGCGGUUUGGAAAAUGGAUGGAUGGAUGGAUGGUCAUUGUGGACACACCACAGCAAUCAGUGCACAACAACAUAAUGUGUCCUCUGCAUUUAACCCGUAUGUGACAUCAUGAUAAAGCAGGGGGCAGCUAAUUGAGUGUCCAGGGUGCCGGCACUCUGCCCAAGUCUCUUUGCUCGGACCAGCAGCGCCCAUCUUGCCAGGCACAGGUUUGCCAGCUCCAAACCCCAAGCAGGUUGCCAGCGACUCAGAAGAGGCCGUGUCUGUGUCUCCAGUCUCAGACCUGAGCCCCUCAGGUGGCCACACUCAGGUGACCAAGCACCUGUCCAGCCUUCACAGUUGCCCAGGAUCAGGCUUUGGCCCUGGUCUUGUGUUUCCAUGUUCUGGAGCUGUCAUCUGGGACAUGGACGCCAUCAGUGCCCUCCGGAUCCUCUGCUGGCAACCUUUCCUACACCCACAGAUCCUCCUCUGAUUCCCCUUGUGCCUCUGCUCCCUACGUCCAUCCCUCCUGUCUGGUUUUCUAUUGUACUUCAUCCCAAACAUGCUUAGUAGGAUUGGGGUCAAGAAGGCCAGUCGAGUUCUUCCACACCAAACUCAGCCAACCAUGUCUUUAUGGACCGUGCGUUCUUUGUCCACCUUCGGAAUAUUCAUGCUGGAACAGAAAAGGGUCUUCUCCAAACUGUUCCCACAAAGUUGGAAGCAUAUAAUUGUCCAAAAUGACUUGGUAGCUUUAUAAUUACCAUAUUUAAUGUUGGUAAUGUCUUACUGUUUGUAGUUUAUCAAUUAAACCAUAUGUAUGUGUGGCCCAGAAUUUAAAAUGACGCAAUAACUGCAGUUGGGGUUCUUCACUUGCACAAUUUUACAAAAAUUAAACUGUUUUCCACUUAAAGUACUUGGAGCGAAAACAUGCUUACAGAGAAAUGUACAAAUUUGUCAAAAAGGAAACGAAAUACAUCUAGAUCCAGCUGAAUAAAUACAACUAAACAAAUAUUACCAAACAAAUAUGACUGUGAUUCGCUGGUGCAAACAAAAAGCACACAAAAUUGCAAAAAAAACUUGCACUCAAAACAAU